GAAUGUAAGCAAAUUUAAAUGCCGGUUAUGAAUUUUGUGGCUAAAAUGAAGUAUGUGUUCUUCAAAUUAUUGUGUGACUUUUUGUAUGAGAUAUUUUGGGAGCUAAGGAAUCUUGCAUUGGUUGUUGUUUGAGUAAUUAGAGCCAAUAUUUGAUUAACUUAUUAACAAUCACUUUUCAAAAAGGCAAUAUUAAAAUGAAUCUUAAGAUAGUUAUGACUUAUGAGUUUGUUGAAAUAACUUUGUAUAUAAGUUGAA
rnacentral:lncRNA from 1 species